AGAGUUUGAUCCUGGCUCAGGACGAACGCUGGCGGCGUGCUUAACACAUGCAAGUCGAACGAUGAAGCCUUUCGGGGUGGAUUAGUGGCGAACGGGUGAGUAACACGUGGGCAACCUGCCCUCCACUCUGGGAUAACUCCGGGAAACCGGGGCUAAUACUGGAUAUGACCCUCCCUCGCAUGGGGGUGGGUGGAAAGUUUUUCGGUGGAGGAUGGGCCCGCGGCCUAUCAGCUUGUUGGUGGGGUGAUGGCCUACCAAGGCGGUGACGGGUAGCCGGCCUGAGAGGGCGACCGGCCACACUGGGACUGAGACACGGCCCAGACUCCUGCGGGAGGCAGCAGUGGGGAAUAUUGCACAAUGGGCGAAAGCCUGAUGCAGCGACGCCGCGUGGAGGAUGACGGCCUUCGGGUUGUAAA
rnacentral:rRNA from 1 species